AGGAGCAACAGCCCCAGUGGCGGGGCAGCUCUGGAAACCUGGAUUCAGCCCCCGCAGGAACUCCGGAGCUCUCUGUCUGCAGGGCCUGGAGGCUCCGGGGCGGG
rnacentral:pre_miRNA from 1 species